AUGCUUCCUCAGUCGGCUGUACCCCUACGGACUACAUGGAAUCAGUCAAGGCCGUCCUUAGCACGAUCCCGAUUCACCAGCUCCGGCGCCCCCAAGAAGACCAUCAAGGCGCCCGAGAAGAUCCAGCGAGGCUUCCUGUGGGCCGGCCGCGCGGAGGCAAAUGGCGGGCACUGCCAUGUUAACUGGCAAUGA
rnacentral:rRNA from 1 species